UAGGAGGGGGGCUGGCAGAGAGCUGUUACCUACCUUCACAGCAGCUCCUGUCAGCUCCCUUCUCUCUCCUCGGUCAGCUCCCUUCUCCUCCAGUGUAAGACUUGCGGCCGCGCGGAGUGUUGCCACGGUAACCAGUGGCAAUGCUCUGAGCCCGCGGCUCUCGCAAGACUUACAGUGGAGGAGAAGGGAGCUGACUGAGGAGAGAGAAAGGAGCUGACUGAGGAGAGAGAAGGGAGCUGAACGGAGCUGCAGGAAAGGUAAGUAACAGCUCUCUGCCAGCCCCCAACAGGA